rnacentral:lncRNA from 1 species
UGGCCGUCUGACCUCGGCAAAUACACGUUUAAUACCGCCGUGAACCGAAGUCUGCCGCUCAGAUUCCCGCUGCUUUGCUAUGCCCUUAGACUGCUCGCGCCUGCAGCAACAAUGUAUAGGGAUCAAAUCUACUGUAACGGGCAGUGCUUGAGGAUUUCUCAGCUUCCGGCAUGAUUUACUGGGUGACUUCUUUCUGUUGCAACCAAAGCAACCAAUAGCAUAAAUAAGACUUCCUGUACAACCACCAGCAAGCUGACCAGUCAGGCUUUGUUCAGUUUCCACAUCUGUAAAAUCAGCUCAAAACAUGAAGGAGAUUCUGAGUUUUAUUUAAAAAUAAAAUUGUUGCAGUCAUCUUUUUUGCAAGGAGAGCCUAGGACCUACGGAUAUAGCAGAAGAACACAAGUGGCUGUACCCCAUGCCAGCCUAUCAGGAGGUUUUAAGUGAGAAAAGAAAACUCCCUUCACGCAGUGCAGUGUUUUACUAGUUGAAUCACCCUUCAUGUUCUCAACAGUCGGGGCCCAGCUGUGUUCCAGACCAAAUAAUGACAAGAAAAGUCAGAUGAGCUAAUAGGAGCUGGGAAGGGAGACCAAGACUUGUCCAGAUUAACGAAAGGAUUCAAACCUAUGUCAUCUCAGUCUUAAUGCAGCAUCCCAGUGAUAUAUGCUUAUUUAGCAGUUUACAUCUGGUGCCUAAUCCAAAGUGUAAGCUCAUCUCAUUGCCCCUCCUUGCAUUCCUACGCUAGCUUCGUGCUUUGUGUGACAGCAGUAAGCGUUCAGUGGGUGGGGAACAUGAACUUCAC